UAAAAGGAUAAAUGAUUGUUCCGAAGUAUGAAUAUCUGUACAUCAUCGUGCAAGGCUUCAAGAAACUAGAGAAGAAGGAGGAGAAAUAUUUAAUUAGAAAAAAUAGAGAUGAUAAAUUAGAAAUGAAGAAUUAAAAAAACAUGAUUUUAAGGUCACGACUAAUAAACGACUUGAUAAGAGAAAACAAAAUUUAAUGGGAAAGAAAAAUGAAUAUAAAAAUGAAAAACAAUUGAUAGAUUUACUGUUAGAUAUAUAUUAUGCGAUUCACAUUCUUGAGAAAGAUAAGUUCAUGAUGACGAUAUAUGGAUUUUUCCUUUUAAGAAAGUUAAAAAAUAAAUAAAUACGCAGAGAAAUAA
rnacentral:lncRNA from 1 species